UCUUAUACCGGAGAUGACUCCUCAUCGCAUGGUGGGGGGUGGAAAGCUUUAUUGUGGUUUUGGAUGGACUCGCGGCCUAUCAGCUUGUUGGUGAGGUAAUGGCUCACCAAGGCGACGACGGGUAGCCGGCCUGAGAGGGUGACCGGCCACACUGGGACUGAGACACGGCCCAGACUCCUACGGGAGGCAGCAGUGGGGAAUAUUGCACAAUGGGCGAAAGCCUGAUGCAGCGACGCCGCGUGAGGGAUGACGGCCUUCGGGUUGUAAACCUCUUUCAGUAGGGAAGAAGCGAAAGUGACGGUACCUGCAGAAGAAGCGCCGGCUAACUACGUGCCAGCAGCCGCGGUAAUACGUAGGGCGCAAGCGUUAUCCGGAAUUAUUGGGCGUAAAGAGCUCGUAGGCGGUUUGUCGCGUCUGCCGUGAAAGUCCGGGGCUCAACUCCGGAUCUGCGGUGGGUACGGGCAGACUAGAGUGAUGUAGGGGAGACUGGAAUUCCUGGUGUAGCGGUGAAAUGCGCAGAUAUCAGGAGGAACACCGAUGGCGAAGGCAGGUCUCUGGGCAUUAACUGACGCUGAGGAGCGAAAGCAUGGGGAGCGAACAGGAUUAGAUACCCUGGUAGUCCAUGCCGUAAACGUUGGGCAC
rnacentral:rRNA from 1 species